GAAAGCGUCUCAUUGAGUUUCUUUUUUUGCUCCAUCAGAUUGUCCUCACAAAUUGCUUGACUGAACAUUUUGGCAGUUUCAUGAAAUUGAGUAGCUAUCAUCCUUGAAGCACAAAUAGCCUCUGCAAUCCAUACUUCUACUUCUUUUCUUUGAAGAUUUCUUGCUUGUAGACUCAUCAGAAUUAAUGUCAUGUAUCAUGGAUGAACUAUCAAAAUUAAGAUCCUGAAGCCCAUCUUCAGCACCUUGAAGAAUAACAUCUUCUUUAUCAAGUUCCUAACGCACAACAGCUGCAGUUUGGGCAUCAUGACCAGUUGUCCUAUCUUUUCCAAAAAUUAUACUAAGAUCAUCAAACCAUGAAAAACGAUUAUAUCUUCACUUAGCAGCCUUUUCAUGAACCUGUAUAACUCUAAAAAUAAACGAGUCUAAUUUAUGGUCUGCAAAUACAUACAUAUGGCGCAAGGUAACACAAACCACCUCCGCUAGCUAUCCUUAUACAGGUCCAAGUCCAACACCAUAAGGCGGUUCAAAUUACCCAUGAACAAGCACAAAAUACUACGGAAUAUACAAACAAUAAAAGGCGGCUCAAUUAUCAGUGUAAAAUAAAAAAUUUCAUCCACAAGUUAAUAAUAACUAUAUAUGGCUCAAUACAAAUUGAUUACACACUUUUACUUUCUUUUUUUUUGAAGAGGAAAAAGGCUCAAUUAUUUAUGUGUGCAAAUUAGAAUGUCAUACAUAAAUGAUCAAUUAUUUGUGUACAAAUUAAGUUGUUUAUUUGUGGAUAAAAAUCUGAUUUGUACAUCAUAAGGCACCACCAACCAUGAGCUGAUCUAGAUGGUAUCAUCCCUUCAACAAAAAAAGAGAUGAUAUCACUUUAACUUUGCACCACAAUGAUCAGGAGAUCAAAUUUCAGCAAUACUGCAAACAAUAUAAGCAGAGCAGAGUUCCAAAGUGCACUUAAUUCAAAAUGAUAGUACCUCACCAAACAGAGCAGCAGCUUAACAAAAGUUCACAUAGCAGAAGCUGAACAAAAACAACUAAAGCAAAUAUUGACAGAAAAAAAGAUCAGAAGAAGAAGACAAAACAUCUUAACACAGAGUAAACAAAUAUUGACAGAAAUAACAACGUAUCAUAAAUGAUUCUUAUCAUAAGGAAAACUCCACCAAAACAGAAGCAAUAACUAUAUAACAUAGCAGCAUAUUAACCACUGACAUCAAUGCUAAUGAAGUGCUCAAUACAUAAGGUUCCACCUUUGACAUUACCAAUUUAUGUUGUAAAUACAAAACUUAAUCAAAUACCAAAAAGACAUUUUUAGCAUAAAACCAUCAAACAGAAACAUCAAAGCAGUCUUUUAUCAUUACAAGUUCAAAUGGUAAUAAUUCAGUCACACAAAUACAUUUAAGGUGAUAUCCCAAAAACAAAAUUCACUAAAAUUACAUCGGAGAAUGGAAAGGAAAAACCAAAACAGAAAAUAAAAGGAGUACAAUUAUAUACUUGUUAGUUAUCUUUGAGUCAAAUUAUCAAACAUUUAGAAGACAAAAAUGGAGGAUACUCUAGCAAAGCAAACAAAAACCCAAGCAAUUAAUGAAAUUAAACAUGGAAUUGAAAGAGUAGAGCAUACAUACAUAUACACAUGGAAUGAAAAUGAUAAAUCGAUAUUCAAACAGUCCAUUCUGAGAAUUUAAAGCUAGAUUCAAGUGCUAAUUAUGGUAUGUAGAUCAAUUAGGUAUGAGAACGAGAUUGGUGGAGAUAUUGAACGAGAAUGAUGAAGAGAACCAGAUUGAUAAUACCUUUAUUCUCCUUCAGCGAUUUGCUCGAUCAAUUGGAUAUGAGAACGAGAUUGGUGAUAACUUGCUUCUUCGAUCGGUGGGAGAAAGGUAGGGAUAAAAGGUACCAUGGUGUUUAAAGAAUUCUAUAUAAAAUAAAAUUAUUACCGAU
rnacentral:lncRNA from 1 species